rnacentral:rRNA from 1 species
AUUGAACGCUGGCGGCAGGCCUAACACAUGCAAGUCGAGCGGAGCGGCGGACGGGUGAGUAAUGCUUAGGAAUCUGCCUGGUAGUGGGGGAUCACGUCCGGCAACGGGCGCUAUUACCGCAUCCUAUCAGAUUAGCCUAGGUCGGAUUGGCUAGUUGGUGGGGUAAAGGCCUAACAAGGCGACGAUCCGUAACUGGUCUGAGAGGAGGAGCAGUCACACUGGAACUGAGAAACGGUCCAGACUCGUACGGGAGGCAGCAGUGGGGAAUAAUGGACAAUGGGCGAAAGCCUGAGCCAGCCAUGCCGCGUGUGUGAAGAAGGUUUUCGGAUUGUAAAGAACUGUAAGUUGGGAGGCGUUACCAACAGAAUAAGCACCGGCUAACUUCGUGCCAGCAGCCGCGGUAAUAC